AUCGAUACAUCAUUUAAUAGAUAUUUUGGUCCUCUAUUCAGGACUUUUUUCCACAUUGGUGCUUAACGAAUAUAUUCGUUUUUAGGAGCCAAAGUCUGCUACGAAGCAACAAUUAAAUUCUUCUGUGGAUUUUUGAAAUGGCGCAAGUGACAACCACGAAAUCUGAUUCAAGGGUCAUUCAGUAAUUAAUUCCAGUUUUUAAAAUGUAAAUAUCGUUUAAAAUUACCAGGGGGGUUACUCUCUAUUGCGAUGCGAAAGAAAAAUGGUACAAUUGGUACCCUUUAUUGCGCUUUCGCAUCGCACAAAAAAUUUGUUUAAAAUGUUUUUAUUUACAAGUUUUGACAUUUAAUUUUGUCAUUCUUCGCUAUUUUUUAUUUUGUGGUACCAGUAUUGCUUCUUUUUGCGAAAGCGUUUGCGUAGACGAUACAGAGUACAAAAUUGUAUUCUUAACGCAUUUACCUUUCGCAUCGAAAUUGCUUUCGCAUCGCAAUAGGGAGUAACCCCCCAGAUAAUGAUUCCACAAAUAAAGCAAUAUUUUUGUCAUGCUUUUGUUUACUUUUUAAUGAUACGUGCUCAUGUAUAUAAACAAAAUACUACCUUUUUAUGCAACUCUGAAAAAAGUUUGCUAAAAUUUAAAAAAGUUUGUUUUCUUCAGCAUAAAUGCAACAUUUUUCUCAGAAAAGAAAACACCAUUUAAUGCACUUUAACCCAAUACCAAACAUGACUGUGACAGAAAAAGUUCAGCUUUUGAAUUAAUCGCCACUUUUGGUACAUUUCAACCCUCUGUACUAUUAUUGAAAGUCCAAAUUCAAAACAUAAUCUCAUCAACAUCUCCACUAUAGUCGUGGGAAAUUUUAUUAAAAUCGGAUAAUGACAAAGUUAACUUUUGGAACAAAGCCAGCCGCUAAUUACAGUAGCAAGACGCGUUCAAAAUCAAAUUAUUGAACAAUACUUUAGUUAAGUAUGUUAAUGAAUAAAUAAAUAUUUUAUAAACACAUGUAAUGGAAUGUAAACUAUAGGAAAAUAAUAGCAAAAAUUGCAUUUAAAACAAAAUAAUAUUAAUAGUACAUAUUUUAGCAUUCUUCUAUUUCAUUCUCUUAUGUGACGAUAAUAUCUCGGAUAAACAGGAAAAACUUUGUGUUUUUAAUUCUCUUGUUUUUAUUUCAUUUCUUUUUUCAUAAAUUGCCGCUGCGCAAACAUUUGUUCCAUUCGAGCCGGAUUUUGGCUGUGAAAUUUUGAGAAAUUGGAAUAACUCAACCAGGAACCAUAUUGUUAUCAACAACAACAUUCAUCAUAUAAAUAUUAAAUAUCUUCAUAUUUAACAAGUUGCUUGACAAAAAUAGAAAUUAGCCUAAUUGGGCAGCAGCAUCAAAAGAAGUCGUGUCGCCGUGAAGUUGUGCUGUCGUGAAAAGAAUCGUCUUCAUAUAAACGUGUGUAUUUUAUUUUUCACAGAUUGAAUUCGAAAGCGUGCUGUCGUCAAUGUGUUUAAUGCAUUAACAUUUACAUUUAUACAGUCCAUUGCUUUGACAUUAUUUCGUAGAGUACAACUUUAGUCAACUCCGGGUUUGUUAUUAUGGACGGACAUAUUGUGAAAAAUAAUUUAUUUUAUUUAUUUCGUUAUUUCGUAAAUUUAAUUUAUUUAUUAUUAAAAUGUUUGCGAAACGCUGUGAACAAAUAAAGUUAAUUAUUUGAUAUAUUUUUUAUUUACAAUGCGAG